UGAUUAUAUUUCUUCCCUACCUCCUAAAUACCAUUAUAGUUAUAUUGAAUUAUACCUUUCCCUUUGUCUUGCAGGGAGUCAUAACUCUGCAUUUAAAAUCUCAAAAAUGCUUCUCUACCUGGAGUCUUUAAAGAGAAAUGUGACAAUUUAUGUUUCCAUUUGCAGCUAGCAUAAGCAAUUUAGUUAGAGAAUGGUGCAGUGUUGUUAUGGGCUGUUUCCGUUUCGGGUUGUAGUCACUGUGAUGAAAUGCAGAGGUAGUCUUGACCACUCAAGUCGCUUUCAUAGACUCCCGUAAAGAAGCAACCACUCAUUCAGUUAAAAGCAGUCAACCUUUGAAGCCCAGAGAACAGAAGAAUUAAUGCUGUGAGAAGACUUAGCAAACCGUUCUGUGCUUGGAUUGUGGAAGUCGUUGGUGGGCAGGGGUGAUGACCCGGCAGCCCAAUGAGGGCUUGAAGAUUUGGGUGUUGACAUUUGCAGUGAUUGGUGCAAAAGCAGUGCUGAGAGGAACUGCUGGAAGCCAAGCACAAAUCAGACAGAGGCUGCAGAGUGUACGUGGAGAUGCCAUAGCCCUUGAUGCCCAGCACUUGCAGGGAGCAGGUCCUGAGAGUGCCUUCUGGGGACCUGGGAGGGCUUUGAUGGUUUGCUUGAGG